ensembl:misc_RNA 7SK 7SK RNA
GAGCGUGAGAGUGAUCUGGCUACAUCUGUCAUUCCAUUGAUUGCCAGGCUGGCUUCAUUAGUUCUGGCUGGCUAGCCUAGGGUUUCCUUUCUCUAUUACCUUUCCACAUGCACCUCUUAUCAAGCUGCAUGCUGUGUCAAGAGGUUAUGCUUUUCUAGUAGGGUGGAUCAUUCUUCAGGGAAGAAUAUACUUAUUAUCAGAGUAUAACCCAACUUCAUUGUUCAAGAGCCCCUAAAUAAU